AACGUAGGAGACGAGCGUUAUCCGGAUUUACUGGGCGUAAAGCGCGUGUAGGAGGCGCUACAAGUUGGAUGUGAAAGCUCCCGGCUUAACUGGGAGAGGUCGUUCAAGACUGUAGGGCUAGAGUGAGGCAGAGGUAGAUGGAACUCCGGGAGUAGUGGUGAAAUGCGUAGAUAUCCGGAAGAACACCAGAGGCGAAAGCGAUCUACUGGGCCUAAACUGACACUGAGACGCGAAAGCCAGGGUAGCAAACGGGAUUAGAGACCCCGGUAGUCCUGGCCGUAAACGAUGUAGACUGAGCGUUGGUUGGGUAAAACCAAUCAGUGCUGAAGCAAACGCGAUAAGUCUACCGCCUGGGGAGUACGGUCGCAAGAUUAAA
rnacentral:rRNA from 1 species